GACGAACGCUGGCGGCGUGCUUAACACAUGCAAGUCGAACGAAGAGCGACGGAAGCUUGCUUCUAUCAAUCUUAGUGGCGAACGGGUGAGUAACGCGUAAUCAACCUGCCCUUCAGAGGGGGACAACAGUUGGAAACGACUGCUAAUACCGCAUACGAUCUAAUCUCGGCAUCGAGGAUGGAUGAAAGGUGGCCUCUACAUGUAAGCUAUCACUGAAGGAGGGGAUUGCGUCUGAUUAGCUAGUUGGAGGGGUAACGGCCCACCAAGGCGAUGAUCAGUAGCCGGUCUGAGAGGAUGAACGGCCACGUUGGGACUGAGACACGGCCCAGACUCCUACGGGAGGCAGCAGUGGGGAAUCUUCCGCAAUGGACGAAAGUCUGACGGAGCAACGCCGCGUGAGUGAUGACGGCCUUCGGGUUGUAAAGCUCUGUUAAUCGGGACGAAAGGCCUUCUUGCGAAUAGUGAGAAGGAUUGACGGUACCGGAAUAGAAAGCCACGGCUAACUACGUG
rnacentral:rRNA from 1 species